CCUCAGGAUAGCUAGGAACUUAAGAAAAAGUAGUUUUAUCAGGUAAAGCGAAUGAUUAGAGGCUUUGGGGAAGAAACUUCCUCGACCUAUUCUACAAACUUUAAAUAGGUAAGAUUUGAAGGAUACUUAGGUGAUCUUUCAAUAUUUUGAAUAUAAAGUUCUUAGUGGGCCAUUUUUGGUAAGCAGAACUGGCGAUGUGGGAUGAACCGAACGUUAAGUUAAAGUGCCAAAUAAUACGCUCAUGAGAUACCAUAAAAGGUGUUGGUUCAUUUUGACAGCAGGACGGUGGCCAUGGAAGUCGGAACCCGCUAAGGAGUGUGUAACAACUCACCUGCCGAAUGAACUAGCCCUGAAAAUGGAUGGCGCUUAAGCGUAUAACUUAUACUUAACCCUUACUUGAAUUAUUAUAACGAGUAAGGAGUAGGAGGGCGUAAAGUUUCUAUUAUAAUGGCUGUUAAGCAUCUAAGCGUAAGCUUAUGUGGAGC
rnacentral:rRNA from 1 species